AUUCUAGUCCCUCCGUUGCACAAUACUACAUGCCUUCUAUUUGUCAAAAUAUAUAUGUAUCUAGACAUGUCUUAGUAUAUAGGUACAUCCAUUUUUGGACAAAUGGAAGUCAAGUAUUUUGGAACGGAGGGAGUACACA
rnacentral:pre_miRNA from 1 species